rnacentral:rRNA from 1 species
AGCAGUCGCCACGGUAAUACAGAGGGUGCGAGCGUUAAUCGGAUUUACUGGGCGUAAAGCGUGCGUAGGCGGCUUUUUAAGUCGGAUGUGAAAUCCCUGAGCUUAACUUAGGAAUUGCAUUCGAUACUGGGAAGCUAGAGUAUGGGAGAGGAUGGUAGAAUUCCAGGUGUAGCGGUGAAAUGCGUAGAGAUCUGGAGGAAUACCGAUGGCGAAGGCAGCCAUCUGGCCUAAUACUGACGCUGAGGUACGAAAGCAUGGGGAGCAAACAGGAUUAGAUACCCCCGUAGUCCCUGUCUCUUAUAA